AGCAGCCGCGGUAAUUCCAGCUCCAAUAGCGUAUAUUAAAGUUGUUGCAGUUAAAAAGCUCGUAGUUGAAUUUCGGGGUUAGUAGGUUGGUCAUGCCUCUGGUAUGUACUGGUCUCACUGAUUCCUCCUUCCUGAUGAACCUUAAUGCCAUUUAUUUGGUGUUUUGGGGAAUUUGGACUGUUACUUUGAAAAAAUUUAGAGUGUUUAAAGCAAGCUAACGCUUGAAUACAUUAGCAUGGAAUAAUGAAAUAGGACGUUCGAUCCUAUUUUGUUGGAUUCUAGGAUUGACGUAAUGAUUAAUAGGGAUAGUUGGGGGCAUUAGUAUUCAAUUGUCAGAGGUGAAAUUCUUGGAUUUAUUGAAGACUAACUACUGCGAAAGCAUUUGCCAAGGAUGUUUUCAUUAAUCAAAGAACGAAAGUUAGGGGAUCGAAGACGAUCAGAUACCGUCGUAGUCUUAAACCAUAAAACUAUGCCGACUAGGGAUCGGAUGAUGUUAAUUUUUUUAAUGACUCAUUCGGCG
rnacentral:rRNA from 1 species